AUUGAACGCUGGCGGCAUGCUUUAUACAUGCAAGUCGUGCGGCAGCGCGGGGGCAACUCUGGCGGCGAGCGGCGAACGGGUGAGUAAUACAUAGGAACGUAUCCUGAAAUGGGGGAUAGCUCGGCGAAAGCCGGAUUAAUACCGCAUACGCUCCACGGAGGAAAGCAGGGGAUCGCAAGACCUUGCGUUUCUGGAGCGGCCUAUGUCUGAUUAGCUAGUGGCGGGGUAAUAGCCCACCAAGGCGACGAUCAGUAGCUGGUCUGAGAGGAUGAUCAGCCACACUGGGACUGAGACACGGCCCAGACUCCUACGGGAGGCAGCAGUAGGGAAUUUUGGACAAGUGGGGCAACCCUGAUCCAGCCAUGCCGCGUGAGUGAAGAAGGCCU
rnacentral:rRNA from 1 species